UACGAAGGGGGCUAGCGUUGUUCGGAGUUACUGGGCGUAAAGCGCACGCAGGCGGUCUGCUAAGUUUGGAGUGACAGUUGGUGGCUUAACUGCCAAAGUGCUUCGAAAACUGACAGACUUGAGGGCUUCAGAGGGACACGGAAUUCCGGGUGGAGUGGUGAAAUGCGUAGAGAUCCGGAGGAACACCAAAGGCGAAGGCAGUGUCCUGGGGAGUACCUGACGCUCAGGUGCGAAAGCCAGGGGAGCGAACGGG
rnacentral:rRNA from 1 species